rnacentral:pre_miRNA from 1 species
GGAAAAGAUGAGAUUGGAUGCAGCACAAGCCAGAACUCAAGCGAAUUAUUUGAGUUAUUUGUGUUAUUUCCUUGUUCAGUUUGAGCUCUGGCUUGUGCUGCAUCCAAUCUCAUCUUCU